rnacentral:misc_RNA from 1 species
AAGUCGUAACAAGGUUUCCGUAGGUGAACCUGCGGAAGGAUCAUUAACAAAUCAUGUUGGUGCCUGACCCUCGGGUCAUGGCCCAUAUUAACCCGAACCCGUGCAGCAAUGCCGGGCAAGGUGUGUGAGCGGAAGGUCUUUGUGCCUGAAGCUCACGCGGUGAAGGUCAAUGUCUGAAAGGACAGCGAUCCGAUCCACAUAGACGCUUGUUAUGUUUGACAGAGUUAGUUGACACUUAAAAAUGACAACUUUUAACAAUGGAUCUCUUGGCUCUU